rnacentral:tmRNA from 1 species
GGGGGUGUACUUGGCUUUCGACGGGGUUCAUUGAGGACGGAUAAGCAGGCGGCAGACCCCGGAUCUGCCUUAAAAGCUGGGAAUUAAAAUUAAACGCUAAUAACAAUUACGAAUUAGCUGCUGCGUAACGCAGCGCCGUCACGCCCGGAAUCUCCCGAUGUUCCGGUGCCUGGCGUCAAUUUAAUCGGGGAACCGCUUUAUUUUCGGCCUUUGGAAUAAAGAGAGGACAAAGAAGGCUGCCCGGAGCGAAUCCAGCAAAAGAGGAGUCGCCGAGGAAAGAUCAAAAUCUUUUGCUAAGCUUGUAGAAAGUUCGUUGGCAGGGAUUUCGGACAGGGGUUCAACUCCCCUCAUCUCCACCA